GCCCCGGUGGCGCAAUCGGUUAGCGCGCCGUACUUAUAAUGCGGAGGUUGUGAGUUCGACCCUCACCCGGGACA
rnacentral:tRNA from 1 species